UUUAGAUUUUUAGAAGACUUUAACAUUACAGAAAUUUUAAAUACAUCAGAUACUUCCAAUGAUGGUUAUAUAAUUGAAUGUGAUUUAGAAUAUCCAACUCCUUUACAUGAUUUACACAGUGACCUACCUUUAGCACCACAACAUUUAAAACCACCAAAUUCCAAAUCAAAAUUAGAAAAAUUGCUUUUAACAUUGUUUCCAAAAAUUAAUUAUAUAGUCCAUUAUCGCAAUUUAAAAAUGUAUUUAAGACUUGGUUUAAAAAUUACUAAAGUACAUCGCGUCCUAACAUUUAAUCAGAGUCCAUGGCUUAAGGAAUAUAUAGAUUUAAAUACACGCUUAAGACAGCAGUCACAAAACGAAUUUGAAAAAGAUUUUUUUAAACUAAUGAUCAAUGCUAUAUAUGGUAAGUGCAUGGAAAAUGUACGUAAACAUAAAGACAUUAGAAUUGUAACUAGGUGGGAUGGUAGGUACGGUAUGCGCGAUUUAAUUUCAAAACCCAAUUUUCAUAGUUCUGUUAUAUUUGAAGAAGACAUGUCAAUAGUUGAAAUGAAUAAAUUAAAUGUGGUACUAAAUAAACCAAUUUAUGUAGGUUUUUGUAUUUUAGAUAUUUCAAAAAUAUUUAUUUACGAAUUUCAUUAUGACUAUAUUAAAAAUAAGUUUGGUAAUAAUGCAAAAUUGUUGUACACAGACACCGAUAGUUUAAUAUAUCAUUUUAAGACAGAAGAUAUUUAUAAAAAUAUUAAGGAAGAUAUUCAUCGCUUUGAUACUUCCGAUUAUAAACUUGAUAAUAAAUUUAAUAUUGAAUUAAAAAAUAAGAAAUGUCCAGGGCUCAUGAAAGAUGAAAAUCAUGGCAAAAUUAUGCUUGAAUUUGUUGGGCUUCGAUCUAAAAUGUAUUCCUAUACAGUUGAUUCAGACACUGAAGAUGAAGAGCAUGAUUAUGAUGAAGUAGGUCCAGCUAUAAAACGUAAAAAAUUUGUGAAAAAGUCGAAAGGGUGCACAAAAUCUUCAAUAAAACAUAUUACAUUUAAUGAUUAUAAAAAAUGUUUAUUCGAUUUAGAUAUAUUUCGUAGCACGCAAAGACUCAUUCGAUCUAAAAAACACUCUGUGUAUUCUAUAAAACAAGAAAAAGUGGUCUUAAGUCCAUAUGAUGAUAAACGCAUAUUAUUAAGAAAUACUACGGAUACAAGACCUUGGGGAUAUGCUAUUAAUCCAACGUGAAAUAUAGAGGAGCGGUAUAUGAAACAAAUUCUUAAAAAAAUAAUUAAUAAAUAAAUAAUGAAACGAUACAUAAAUUUACUACUUGGUAAUCCAAUGUGAAAUAAAGGAAAGUGAUCAUACGAAGAAAAAGAAGUUGUAGCAAGAUGGAACAUCAACAGUGUCAGGAAGAAGAAUCAACAGAAAACUUAUUUAUUAAAAAUCGAUGUUUUCAUAUUGAAUAUGAAGAAUAUGAAGCAUAUCGACAUGUGCAGGAGAUCAACCUUUACAAAUCAAUAAAAAAGUAUCACAAAGAACAACCUAUGGUAAGAUGGCUUCUUAAAAAAUCAAACUGCAUAAUUUCAGACAACGCUUGGCUGUGGUUUGCACGAGCAUAUGAAGUACCUCGACUGAUCGAUCUAUAUUUGCUAGUGGAGAAAAAACUAGAGAUGGAUAAGUAUAUUAAGAAUCUUUUACAGCAAACAAAUCGAAUAUACAUUAAUUUCAAUGAGAUGGAUAACAUUCUAACAAAACAAACUAAACAGUUUAAAUUUUAUUUUUUUGAAUUGUUAAGAAAUAGUUCAGAUUCUUUGGCAGAUGAUGAACUUUCAAAAUAUUAUCUUGUUGAAAACAUUAAAAAUAAUUAUAAAACUAUAAAUGAAUGUAUUAAUACAUUUGUUUGUGAAGCUGCUUAUUUAGCUAAUUAUAAACCAUUAAGAUCAUUUUUUGGAACUUUGUUUCUGUUUGAUUUAUCUUUUAAGUUUAAUCCAUUGGAGAAUCAAAGACAUCAGGACAUUUUGGAUUGGUUAAAGAAAAACAUUAGAAAGGGUGAGGAAAAUCCUGAAGCACAUCUUGGCUGGACUACUGGAGCAGAUUCAGCACGUUGGCCUUCCAUGAAAUUGACAGAUUACAAAGAUACCUACGAUUUGUUAUGUAUACUUACGUAACCUGUAUAAUGUACUGCAUUUUUGUGAAAUAAAACAAUGUAUAAGUUU